rnacentral:lncRNA from 1 species
AGUGAUGGUAUGCUCUGUUAAUACCUGGUUUAAUUCUUCUUGGUUUCAUAUUGGCCUGUUCAUACUAAGUUUUAACUGUUCUCGUUCCUGCUUAUACCCAUAUUAGUACUUGAUUUGGUUCUUGAUGUGAUUAUGCAUCUAGUUAAUAGUAAUACCAUUGUUUCUUGACUUCGGUUCUCGGUCCUGGCCCAAGCCGAAUAAUUCAGAUGAGUCCGAGUGGAUCUGUCAGUAUUGUUAAUUCUUUGUACCCAAAUUUGAUUUGGUCUUUGCUAAUUCUUGCUUUAGUUCUCAUGAUGAGUCUGUUAAUAGUUUCAUUCAUGCUAGAGGACCUGCCUGUUAGUGCCUAGUUUAACUCCUCCUUUUAUGACUGGUGCUAAGCCUGUUGACCCAAUUUAACGUUUGUUUCCACAUUGAUUAAUUUGAGAUCCUUUAGAUUUUAAUGUGGGUAAUGUUUAAUGCUUGUGAUUCUGGUAGCUGGUUGGUCGAAAAUCUGUUUCAGGUACACCAUUAAAAACCUUUUAUUUUUCCCAUCUGAUAAAUGAAAGAACUAAAACCUGCAAAAGGGUGAAAUGUAGGGAAAAUAAAUAAUGCAGAAAGGUAAUUGGGUUUCUGGUUAAAUUUUUUGGUCUUCUAUUUGAAAAGUAAUAAGGGAAAUCGCAACAGCCAUUAAUUUCCUUCUUCUUGACCCACGAGUCUUUUUUUUAUACGGUUUCGGCACCGAAAUUUCACAAGUUGAUUUCGAUCAAUUGUCAUCCGAUAGUGUUCUCAUUUAAUGGAUAAUAUUCUCUUGGGUCGUCACCUUUCAGGCUUAAAAUUCCGGGUGCAUCUCUCAUCCUCUUGGUUUUGAUUUGUCUAAACAAUGUCGAAACCUAAACUUCUGACCCUUCUAAAUUCAACAGAUAUUUUGGGAUAAGGUUUGAAUUCUCCCUUGCUGUUCAUAUGAUAAAUGAAGAACAGAAAUAGACUUUGAGAUUUCCAAACCGUUGAAUGACAACAAGAUGGGAUCACAGUAUCAGACCUCUCUACCCCUCUCUCU